UUUCCUGUUUUAUUUUUCUUGAAUUGC
rnacentral:piRNA from 1 species